UAGAUGCGAGAGUAGAGCAUAUCAAUAAGCGGAGGAAAAGAAACUAACAAGGAUUCCCUUAGUAACGGCGAGUGAAGCGGGAAGAGCUCAAAUUUGAAAUCUUCAAGGUUCUACCUUGACGAAUUGUAGUUUAAAGAAGUGUUUUCUGUUAGAUGAGUAGCAAAAGUUCCUUGGAAUGGGACAUCAUAGAGGGUGAGAAUCCCGUAUUUGGUUAUUCAUUCUAGCUUUGUGAUACACUUUCAAAGAGUCGGAUUGUUUGGGAAUGCAGUCCAAAAUGGGUGGUAAAUUUCAUCUAAAGCUAAAUAUUGGCGAGAGACCGAUAGCGAACAAGUACCGUGAGGGAAAGAUGAAAAGAACUUUGAAAAGAGAGUUAAACAGUACGUGAAAUUGUCAAAAGGGAAGCGUUUGACACCAGUGUUGUUUUUCCGAAAAUCAAUUACGAAUGGCUUGAUUUUGUGUUGUAUUGACCUUAUCAGCUUUCUGCACUUUUUUCAAGUCUUUCUUAAUGCACUUUUCGGUUAACAAGUCAACAUCAAUUUCUUUUGUUGUAAAAGAGUAUUCGGAAGGUGGCUUUCUUUUCGGAGAAAGUGUUUAUAGCCCUAUACUUCUACAAUCGGAGAGAUUGAGGGUCUGCAGCGUAGAUCCUUCGGGGUUAGAUACACUUUGUGCUAAGUUGUAGCUUUUCAUAGACAACUUGUUGACUAUGUUUAGUCAUGCGGCUUACUCGCUUAGUGCUAUUUUACCUACGCUUAGGAUGUUGAGCGCAUGUCUCUCUCU
rnacentral:rRNA from 1 species